rnacentral:rRNA from 1 species
CAGCAGCCACGGGAACACGGAGGGUGCAAGCGUUAUCCGGAUUCACUGGGUUUAAAGGGUGCGUAGGCGGAUCUGUAAGUCAGUGGUGAAAUCUCCAGGCUUAACCUGGAAACUGCCGUUGAUACUAUAGGUCUUGAAUUUUGUGGAGGUUAGCGGAAUAUGUCAUGUAGCGGUGAAAUGCAUAGAUAUGACAUAGAACACCAAUUGCGAAGGCAGCUGGCUACACAACUAUUGACGCUGAGGCACGAAAGCGUGGGGAUCAAACAGGAUUAGAUACCCCCGUAGUCCCUGUCUCUUAUAC